AACUUCAAUCCCUCAAAACCAUAAACCCGAGGUUCGACUUCGACUCAUCCCCAGGCCCAAAAUAUCAGGUUUUAUCACACCCUCGAUCGACUCCUAGUCUCUAUAUUUUCCUGUCAGCAAUGGCUUCGAAGUGCAGCCGAAUCAUUAACAGAGCUACCAUUUCAACUCUCAGAUCCGCCUUGAAGAAAUCAAAUUCCCCUUCUGCCACGACGUCGUUUCCUAAACCAUCUCUCCCUUCAAAACCCUCGCCUUCAAUCUGGAGGUGUCCGGCCGGACUGGGAUGCGUGGCGUCAAUGCUGCCGCUGCAUAGCGCAGUCGCUACGGCUAGGAUGACGUCAUGCCUGAGCUCAACAUCGAGGAGUUGCAGGGCUCUUUCUCAGGGCACAUGAGUUUCCAAAUGCUUGAAAGAAAUACCAGAAUUUUACAAGAUGAAAUUGAUGGAACGUGAAACACUUUUCCCAAGAGCUAGGCAUUUCAGUUCCAAGGUGACUUUAUUAGCAGACUCUCAGAGAUUUAUCUUCAUGUGAAUGGCAAAAAGGAGGUUCUAUUUAUUCCAGCUUAUACCUUCAAUUUCUUAAACUUCGCUUGGAGUUUCCAAAGCAUUAUAAUUGAGUUUGAUUAUUGUAUUAAUAAUGAACAAAUUUUGUCUCAUUUUAAUUGCUGGAAGUGGCCUUCUUGUCCAUGUUCUGGAGGUUGCCUCAUUGAGAUUUUGGUUUUAGUUAGUAUCGAAAUUUAAAUGGGCAUAUCCCUUGGGAUUUUUACCUUUUGUCGAUUUUCAUCUGUAAAUCAAUUCUUCAGAUUUGGGUUGUUGAGAAAUAAUGAUCAAUAACAUUGCAUAGUGAA